rnacentral:RNase_P_RNA from 1 species
UUAGCAAACUAGGCAAUCGCUGACUUCAUGAUAACAAAUUAUGAGGUUGGAGGAAAGUCCGAACACUCCAUUGAAUAGUAGCGGGUAAUCCCCGUCCGCCGUAAGGCGCGAGGUGCGAACAGUGACGCUUUUUAUUGAAAAAUAAAAAGGCCCCAGCAAUUGGGGUAAUCUUCGCAGAAGCGAAGGGUGAAACGGCUAAAUCCUUACUUGGGUGCAAGAGCAAGCGAUUAGACAAUCUCCGGAUUUGCCUAAUCGUAAAAAGUAGCUCGCAUGACCUUAAUAGUAAUAUUAGGGCUAGAUAAAUGAUUGUCCUCGACAGAAUUCGGCUUAUCGGUUUGCUAAGGUU